AAAACAAUCCUACGGGAGGCAGCAGUAGGGAAUAUUGGGCAAUGGGUGCAAGCUUGACCCAGCCAUGCCGCGUGCCGGAAGAAGGCCCUCAGGGUUGUAAACGGCUUUUGACAGGGAAGAAGAGACAGGAUGCGUCCUGUUGUGACGGUACCUGUUGAAUAAGCACCGGCUAACUCCGUGCCAGCAGCCGCGGUAAUACGGAGGGUGCGAGCGUUGUCCGGAUUUAUUGGGUUUAAAGGGUGCGUAGGCGGGCUUAUAAGUCAGUGAUGAAAUCCAGCUGCUCAACAGUUGAUGUGCCAUUGAUACUGUAGGUCUUGAAGUAAUUGGAGGCUGCCGGAAC
rnacentral:rRNA from 1 species